UUUUCAGGUGCAUAAGGAGCUUAAAAGAACUCUACUUGACCCUCUACUCUAUCCAACCAGGAGGGAAGCAGAUGAGCAUUCUACUCGAUCCAUUCACUCGAUCCAGGCAGCCACAGAGGAGGCAGCAGUUCACUCGACCCUCUUACUCGAUCAAGGCAACCUCAGAUGAAGCUGCAGAUUGAUCUACUCGCCCCUCCUACUCGACCCAUUUACUCGACCAAGGGUAACCAACUCUACAAGACUUGUUGAUCUAUCAAAGCGUUUUCGGAUCCUCCUCAUUCCCCACUCAACCAUACAUCUGAGCAUACGGAUAGGAGAGGAAGAAGCAUCUACUCGACCGAUUGAUCACUCGGAGCAUAGACACAAAGGCGCAGACUUUGCAGCACCCUCUCUACUCGAUCCCCAAGAUCGAGCAUUCGCCCAAACCGCCUCAAGUCUCUUGUCUUAUAGUGAAUCUAGGGUUUUCAACAUUUCACUAUAAAUAGAUCACUUUGGGAUUUGUCCAAAGGAUCUAGCUUUUAUCCUUUAGUUUUCUUUGUGUUUAUGAAUCUUAAAA
rnacentral:sRNA from 1 species